rnacentral:lncRNA from 1 species
AAACGAAAUUCCUGAAUGGAUAAGAGAUGCUACGUCAGCGGUACUGGAGCCGCAUCCUCCACUCCACGAGAAGAGAAGAGCUAGGAGAGACCAGCGGGCGGUAGCUGCGGCGAGUGGCCUCUCCGUGCGGCACAGAGGCAAGAAGCAGCCAUCCAUCCAGAAGCAGCCUCCGUGUUCCGUUUGUCCGGAUGUCAUCGUAGGUGGCCGGCAUCUCUGGCUUUGGGGCAGACAUCCUGCACUACAUUCCAGAUCUGAUGAGGCAUGGCUGCCCCAGGAUUACUGGGCUCGGACGGGAGCAGUGGUAGGAAGGAUCCUAUAUAAGUCAUGUGAGACAUAGAAUGUUCAGAUCAACUGAAGCUGAAACAAGCCUUUGGCAUCAUAUAUAACCCAGAAAGGGACAAAGCUGAUCCCAGAGGACUCAAGGCUAUGGGUGAUGUCGAAGGUGCGGAAGAAUCAAGUUGGAAAGACCAGCAGGAGACAGACAGAGUAAGGUUCCUUGAAUGCUUGGUUUAUGUGCCUGGCUGGAGGAGACACCCAUGGCCUUGCAGAGGGAGCGUUCUGGUGGGAAAGCAGACACAACCCACCCUAGGCCCGUGGUUUCCCUGCAAGAAGCCCAGUGGCUUUCUGGAGGACACUUUUCCUGGAGGAAGUGACUCAAGAGCAGCAUAAGCCAGGCUCUAUGGAAUGUUGGGUGAGCUGCUUGAGGAACUCCAAGGCCUGUCCCACAGUCUUCCAGCCUCCGACUCUCCGGCCCUCAGCGAGGAAGUCCCACUGGUUUUUUUGGUUGGUUUUUUUUUUUUUUUUUAAGGUUUUUUGGUUUUUUUUUUUUUUUCUCAUUCCUGUCUUGGGAGCUUUCCCCAACCAGGAGAGUGAAGAUGGGCGGAGCUGUCACACCAACUGUUAGCCUGCCUUGGCUGAGAGGAGAGGAGGCGAGGAGGGAGCGACCACCCAGCUUUAGUCGUUUUAAAACAGCUCCUGACCCUAGAAGAAGGGAAAUGGAGAUGAAGACCCAAUUGACUUGGCUUCCCUCCCUCCCAGUGCUGAUUUCCUGUGGACCAGAUUCCAGCACAGUGGAGGGCCAGAGCUCAGGGAACAGACCCAGCAGCACAGCAAGUCUCCAAGGAAAGCUCUAGCAGUCUCCAGGGGCUGAAGGCAGGACUGGGGAAGCGGCUAGCCAGGCUGCAGAAGGCAAAUGCUCCCAGACGGCUGUCCAGCACGCAUCCGCCUUCCUAGCCAAGUUUCCUGGGCUCCUGCCACAGAUCUAAGCCUCAUCCUGACAUCCUGCCCUCUGUGCUCUGGGAUGGCCCAGGGGAGAUGCUUAGCCUUGGCUCCUUGUCUGCUGGUGGAGGGGACACACACCCUUUCUGGACCACAGACCAAAAAGAAGACCUGACGUCAUCCUGAGCACCCCCGCCAUGCAGAGUGUGUUCGCAGACUGCCAACGGGCUGGCUCCGGCCAGCAGAAGUGAACAGAGGUGGAGGUUCAGCCUGACAGCUUCUCCCCAAAGCCAUGGAGAGAAAACCUUACCACCCCCACCGCCCAGCUACUUCCAGCAAGUUGUCCAGCCUGACCCCUCUAUUUCCCCUGUUGUCUCUUAUCUGGGUCCCUGAGACCCACCCCAUCUCCAAUAAAGAACAUUGCAUACUGUG